UUGGCCCCGCUGGCCUUUAGCAGUCUGCACACACUGACACACACACACACACACACAGUGGAGGAGAGCGAGCAGCUCGUUGGUGAGCACACUGACUCUGAGGGAACAUGGAUUAUCUCUCUUUGAUCUAAAGACUCUGAUGAGUUUAUCUCUUUUCUUUUCUUUUCCUGACUGAAGAAACUUUUAUCAUCAGAGAUUUCAUUAUGAUGAGUUGAUGUUUUUUAACGCGUGUUUGUUUCAUUAAAUCCACCUCCUCCACUUUACGCGCAGUUUCUGCGUAAUUGCGCACCGGAGUCCGGUGAAGUGCCCGUUACGCGGCGAUGGGACCGCAGCAGCGCGGGGUCCGGAGAGCAGCUCGGCAUUCAUGAGAGCCCUGUGGCCGCGCUGCUGUGGCUCGGAGCGGGACAGGAGCGGGAGGAGCCGGGGCGGAGAUGGCGGCCAACCUGAACCUGAGUGCGGUGGUGGUGGAGGUGGAGGCGGAGGAGGAGGCGCAGGUCCCGGGCACGGGCACAGUGAUGGGAACGGGUUACAACCUGCCGGCGCUGGUGUUCGGGGUGCUGCUGAUCGUGGUGAUCAUCUGCGGGAACCUGCUGGUUUGUCUGAGCGUGUUCAUGGAGAAGGCGCUGAAAACAACCACCAACUACUUCAUCGUCAGCCUGGCGGUGGCGGAUCUGAUGCUCGCGGUGCUGGUGCUGCCGCUCUUCGUCUUCUCUGAGUUUCAGGACGGCGUGUGGACGCUCAGCACGACCAUCUGUGACGGCCUGAUGACCAUGGACGUGAUGCUGUGCACCGCCUCCAUCUUCAACCUCUGUGCCAUCAGCAUCGACAGGUUCAUUGCCGUGUCAAUCCCUCUCAACUACAACAGGAAGCAUGUGGACCUGCGGCAGACCGUGUUGCUGUCGGCUACCUGGAUCCUGGCUCUGGCCGUGGCCUCCCCCGUCAUCUUUGGCAUCAACAACGUGCCUAAACGUGACCCCAGCGAGUGCAAACUGGAGAACGACGACUAUGUCGUCUACUCGUCCGUGUGCUCCUUCUUCAUCCCCUGUCCCAUCAUGCUGCUGCUGUACUGCGGCAUGUUUCGUGGCCUGCGGCACUGGGAGGAGGCGCGCAAGGCCAAGCUGAGGAACAGCAUCCAGGCCUGUCGCAAGCUGCAGGAGGCCGCCGCCGCUUCUCUGCCGCCACUGGCCUCGCUGCCUCCGCCCCUGCCACCCAUCAUAGAGCGGGAGCUGACGGACACUCCGGACGAACCGUCCACCUUCCCGUCUGUGGAGCAGCCCUUCCACGUGUCAGAGUACAAGGACGGACCUGUGCAGACCGUCAGCUUCGCAGAGAUCAGGUUCAACCCUGAACCUCAGCGGAGGAAGAGGGCCAAGAUCAACAGCCGGGAGAGGAAGGCCAUGAAGGUUCUUCCUGUCGUUGUGGGUGCCUUCCUGUUCUGCUGGACUCCCUUCUUUGUCCUCCACACGAUGCGAGCUCGAUGUCCGGACUGUGACGUGCCGCCGGCUCUGAUGAGCGUGGUGACCUGGCUCGGCUACGUCAACAGCGCUCUCAAUCCCGUCAUCUACACCAUCUUCAACACAGAGUUCAGGAACUUCUUCAAGAAGUUCCUGCACCGCUGCUGCUCAUAGAACUGCACCGCUGCUACAUGGAACAACAGCCUGUGAACCCUGUGGUGAACUGUGGAUCCCCGUCAUCCCAAUACCGGUCCAGACCUUGGGGCCCACGAUCCACGCCAGCUUCUUCCCACGCGUCAGCCACGCCCUGCCAUGCCCCGCCUCUCCACUCUGGCAACAAGGACUGCACAGAACGUGGAAAAGCAGAAACUGCCAGUUGUUUGGACUCCUGUCAUUCACCUCAGCGCUACACUUUCAUCACCUGCAGCUCGGAUGAUAAAUGCGGACGGGGAAGUACGAAGAAUCAAACACGAGCAGGUGGUCCGGGCAGAUCCAGGUCACCGUGUCACCCCUGACCUACUUCUACAGAAAAUUAUUCCUAUGACGAUGGAGAUGCUGGCAGCUCAAAGUCCACUGAGACUUGGUCCAAAAAUAACUGGACAUUUAUCUCACACUGUGAUGUGACAUGUCCUGCGUGUCUGGGUGUGUGUGUGUUUAGAAGGCUGUGAGGAUACAUUUUGAUUAAAAUCUAUCACUCUGACCUUGUGAGGAGGGAAUAUACUAUGUCUAUAAAUCAGACUGGUGUACAAGAUGUGUGUGUGUGUGUUGUGUGUAAACAUGCACAUGUGACUAUAUUAGAGAUUAUUUCAGCAGUGACAUAAAGGUACAGUGUGUAAAAUGUACGGGUGAAGUGUACGGUGCAUGUUGCAGCUGAAUAUCCCUGGAGAACCUAUGUAGACUGCAGUUAUCGUCAAGUUUGUCCAUUGUGGGCUACUGUAAAAAAAAAAAAAAAGACCUGAUAU